rnacentral:rRNA from 1 species
UACGGGGGGAGCAAGCGUUGUUCGGAUUUACUGGGCGUAAAGGGCGCGUAGGCGGCCACGACAAGUCACUUGUGAAAUCUCCGGGCUUAACUCGGAACGGUCAAGUGAUACUGUCGGGCUAGAGUGCAGAAGGGGCAACUGGAAUUCUCGGUGUAGCGGUGAAAUGCGUAGAUAUCGAGAGGAACACCGGCGGCGAAGGCGGGUUGCUGGGCGGCCACUGAGGCGGAGGCGCGAAAGCCAGGGGAGCGAACGG